rnacentral:ncRNA from 1 species
GCUGGGGGUGCUCGAAAGAGCUGAGAGGAUUUCCAACCCCUUGAACCUGACCUGGUUAGGACCAGCGUAGGGAAGCU